UAUUUCGUGUGACCUUUCGAGUUCUUCUUCUCCUCUCACGAACAAGACACAACGGCGCACUCCUUCUCUCCGAUCAAAAUCACCGGCCACUUUUCAUCUUCUCCGAUUCGCUUUAUCUUCUUCUUCUGCGUUUUUGUGUUGUGCGUGAUGUUGCGUGGUCGUUGUCAUCAUUUCUACAGGUCGUCGAUGAUGAUGAGGCGACGAUGAUGGGAUGGAUGUUGGUGAUCGAUGAAGAGAUGAUUGAAGAAUUCGUUGAUGAGGAUGAUGAUGAUGCAGAGGCGUUGUUGAAGAUACUAAAUUGUCGAUUGAGGAGAGAUUGGUGGAAUUCGGUAUUCGUCGCGGUUCGGUUAGAGAUGCGUUUCUGUUACGUUUUUUUUCUGAUGAUUCUCAACCUCUUGUUCUUCUCUCUGAAUUCAGAGUUGAUGAAGAUGAAACUCUGAAGAUUGGUUGAAGAACGACUCUGGAUUGAAGUUUGGUGCGAUGAAGAAGAUGGUUUUUCUUUGUCGAUUUUCUGUUGUGAUUCUCGAUCUCUAUUUGCAGAUUGAAGAAUUGGUGGAGGAUUUUUAUUAUUGAAGGUUGGUAGUGAUUGAAGAUGGAUGAAGGCUGAAGAGUUUUUGAUGAAGGUGAGAAUUGAAAGUGAAUGAAGGAGAUGAGAACAAAAAUGGUGGUGAGGAAUGAAGAGAAUGGAGAAGAUUGAAGGCGUGAAGGGUGAAGAAGAAGGGCCUCCGAGAUUGAAGGUUGAUGUUUCUGUUAUAUAGAGUGUGAAGAGCCGAAUAUUGAGAAUCUGAGCUUCAAGCUUUGGAGUACUGAACCGACUUAUAUAUUGCUGCAGAUUUUAUUUGUAUGAUGGAGUUAGCCGGUCGUGGUAUUUUGUCACUGCGGUUCAGCUUCGGUUUAUAAGUGCAAGGUGGAGUUUGGACUGAUAUAGUGCGGCUUAUAUGUGCAGGCUCUGUUUCGAUUGAAAUGGCAUGUUUGUUGCUGGUUUUUUCUUCAUGUGAACUCUGCUUUGGUGUUAAGGCAUGCUGAAAGUGUUUGAAUCGAUACCGUCUUCUCUUUUGCAGGUUGAACACAUGGUUACUUGGGAUGGUUGAGUGGAUUUGCGCCUUUGAAUUCAAUCCGUAGCUUGUUCUUCUUAUUUUCUGUUAAGUGAAGUGUAAGCUGGUAUGUGAUUCUUGAAAGUGAAGCAAUUUGGAACUUGAAGGUCACCCUGAAGUUGAAGCUUGAAGACUGAGGCAAGGACUAGGCUUUAGGAAAUUCCAAUUAACUUUAUGUAGACUUCUUUUGUAUGAAUUUUUGUAUUAUCGUGAAGAUUAAAACUAAGAACAAUACACCAAAGCAUUAUUUCUCUCCUCUUUUUUGUAUUUCCUCUUGACAUAGUGAUGGACUUUUUGUAAUGGGUUUUGAAUGGAAUUGUGAGUUUGUAAUGAAUGAUGAUGUUGAAUGAAA